UCUGUGCAAAUGCAAGCGUCUAUUGAUAACGAAACGAUAAUUUGUCAACAAUGAGAAUCAGAUACUUGGCUUAAUAAUUUUCAUUUAAAAUGUCUAAUUUGGAUAUAAUUCGGAAUACAAAACGAAACUUAAAAGGUAUUGAAAACAACAACGUUCAAAAGAACAAUGUGGAUUUCAAUAGAAAGACUAUUUCCACCGAAAAUCAGGAUUUCCGGUAUGACCACUGUUAUUUUGACGAUUUUUCUAUCGGUUCGUUGGUAAGCGUGACCACAUGUGACAACAGCGAUGCUAGUUGGAUAUAAAAUUGGUAGACGUGUCGUUGAACUCGACACAUUGACCGAAUCGCUUUUAGCAUGCAGUGCUUGUCAAGUGCCCAUGAAUUUACUUAACACUGUAGAAAGCAUGGAUUUCGGACAGGCAUGUGUUUUGGACAUACAGUUUAGCAAUUGUGGUGCAGUAAAUAAUGCGGCUACUGGACGGAAACAUGGCAGAGUUUAUGACAUGAUCACAAAGCUUGCAUUUGGGUAAAUCAAAAACUGGGUGUUUCACCUGGGACUUUCACAUCGAAACUGGCCCUUCUCCAUGACCUUCAGCACAAAAAAAGAAAGGCUAUAGCUGUUACUCGUGCAGCAAAACAGUGACGCAUAAGACUUAAAACUCGAACGGCAUUCAAAGGACAGUGCAAGAAGUACGAGCGGGACCAACAUACAGUUCAAACAUAGAGGACCAAGACGUUGAAGUUACAACUAUACCCCCACCUAUACCCAAGCCUGGUCCAGCAGGGCUAGACACUACUGGGAAGGAAUUUGUUUUCUUUGAUUUGGAAACAAGAGGGUUAGAGCACACUUCUCACAUAAUUCAGAUAGCUGCAGUGCAUUCAACUGGUCAAUUUUCAACAUAUGUGAUUCAUGAGAAGAAGAUUUCCUUGCAAGCGUCAGAAAUAACUGGAGUGACAGUUGUUAGCGACUCUAUGCUUGUCAAGAGACAAACAGUAACAGCUGUCCCCAUCAAAUCUGCAUUGACAAGUUUUAUAACAUUCUUACAGAAAUGUUCACCAAUUAUUUCAGUUGGGCAUAAUAUAGAGUCUUUUGAUUGUAAAGUGUUGCUCCGUGCUAUCCAUACUUGUUGAAAAAUGUUUGAGUUUCAGCAAAAUAUUUGUUGCUUUUUAGAUACUUAAAAAUGUUAAAGGAAAUAUUACCAAAUAUGAAAUCAUAUAAGCGGGAACAUUUAGUUAAAGACGUCAUUGGUGAAUUAUACAUGGCACAUGGCGCUAUACAGGAUAUUUUAGCUUUACAAAAGUUAGUGAACUCUGUUCCUGUUGACCAAAAAUUGUUAACAAAUAUUCAUUCAGCUUUUACCGAGCAGUGUUAACAUACAAUGUGUAACUAAAUGUUGCUUCCAA